CAGUAGCCGCGGGAAUACGGAGGGAGCUAGCGUUGUUCGGAAUUACUGGGCGUAAAGCGCACGUAGGCGGCUUUGUAAGUCAGAGGUGAAAGCCUGGAGCUCAACUCCAGAACUGCCUUUGAGACUGCAUCGCUCGAAUCCGGGAGAGGUGAGUGGAAUUCCGAGUGUAGAGGUGAAAUUCGUAGAUAUUCGGAAGAACACCAGUGGCGAAGGCGGCUCACUGGACCGGUAUUGACGCUGAGGUGCGAAAGCAUGGGGAGCAAACAGGAUUAGAUACCCCCGUAGUCCCUGUCUCUUAUAA
rnacentral:rRNA from 1 species